CCAUACCUUUUUUGGGGGUUGUGUUACUGUCAGUGAAGGCAUAGUGGGGACAAUACUGCUAACACCUAACACCAUACCUGCAUCAGUUAAAGCUCUGCUUUACCUUGGUGCAAUUUUUGGAAAA
ensembl:snRNA